CACUGCAAAGGAGAGAGCACUGCAAAGGGAGAGCACUGCAAAGGAGAGCACUGCGGCGAAGAAGCACAUGCAAAGGAGAGCACUGCAGUGAAGAGUACUGCGGCGAAGAGCACUGCAAAGGAGAGCACUGCAGUGAAGAGUACUGCGGCGAAGAGCACUGCAAAGGAGACACCAGUGGUGAAGAGCACUGCAAAGGAGAGCACCGUGGCAAAGAACACUGCAAAGGGGAACACUACCACUGCAAAGGUGACACCAGUGGUGAAGAGCACUGCAAAGGAGAGCACUGCAGUGAAGAGUACUGUGGCAAAGAGCACUGCAAAGGAGAGCACUGCCACUGCAAAGMUGACACCAGUGGUGAAGAGCACUGCAAAGAAGAGCACUGCCAAAGGCACCUGCAAAAACUGAGCCGUUCUAGAUCAAGAGGAUGGGCCCAUAUGAAACAUAAAAUACGGCAGAAAAUACUAUGGUGUCAGCAGAGCUCGACAAACAGGGCUGCCCGCUGGAAACCCUCCAGGCCAGUCGAUCAACCCUGUCAGUCGCCCGCUUGGGCCAGUGAAAAAUAUCUUGUAAUAAUGCUAUUUUUAAUCUAGGUUAUGUAAAAAAAAAUAAAAAAAAAUGUUUUUCAACAGAUG